rnacentral:lncRNA from 1 species
GAAGUCUAGGGGCGUUAAAACCUCUGAGAAAAGCCGUGGUGACCACGGCGACCGCCCGCCACGCCCACCGCCGAGUCCCGGAGGCUUCGGGGAGUUGCAGCCUGGGCUAGGAGUGCGCAUGCGCAGAGCGGCCAACCCGUGAGGGAACGUUUCUGACGCUAGGUCAAGGGCGGUGUUCCUGUGUUCUUAGGGCCCCAGGAGGCGAGUCUGAGUGGAACCUGGCUGGGGUAGGCUGAAAGGUGACUUCGACGCUCUUCUGAGGCCUCAGACGUGUGUGAUGACUGCCCUGUAGAAUCAGUGCUGUGACCCCGAGUAACAACGCGCGCUUGAGUUGGUAUAAACUCCUGAAGGCCCAUGCUAUAUGAGCUUGACUUCUGGAAGGCUGGAGACUGAGUAAAUUCAGGAGUUAAGUUCAGUCACCCAGGCACCAUGGACACCAGCAUUCAGACGAGAUUACCUGUUUGGCACUACUUUGCACAUGCUGGCACACACCAUGGUGGGAAGAAUUAAGUGCUGUUGCCAUGCAAUUCUAAUGGAAGGGGAAAACUGGAAGCUUGUGCCUCGUCUCUCCUGGACUUUGUCCAGUGCCUUCUCCCAUUGUUCAUUGUUGCCUGCAUCCUUCGCCUUGAGUUUGAGUAUGGCAGCUCUUCUGGAUCCCAGGAGUCCUUCCAGCAAAUCAUUGAGCCUGAGUGGUCCUGGAGACCAGUGGCACACCUUUGUUCAAGAUAAUGGUUCACUUCUCAAUCAAUAAAAAUGUACUUGUAGACGC